GUUGUUGGGUGGGUGGGUGGUGUGUUGUGUUUUUUUUUUCUCUUCACUCCCUUUCAAGCUAAGGAGAGUUUUCCGAGUUGUAAACAGAUAAAUCAAAGGCGAACAGAGAGGGAAAACUCAAACAAAUAUUAUUUUCUACCUCUCCCCGCUUUCUGUGGAGCGGUUGAUGCUCUGAAGGGUCAUCCCAAGCGGCUUUUAGCUAAGAGCUGGAGCCACGGAUCUCCCCUCCACCCAGAAAAAAAAUAAAACUUUUGCCAAAUUGUAACUGUUUUUCCAAGCGAUUCGGAGGGGGAACCCCCCCCCCACCAGAGGGCAAACUUUAGAGAGAUUCGUCAUGGUUAAUCAAGGAAUGCUUAAAUUGUUAAGAUAGUUGCCUUGAAUUCUGAACAAAUAAAAUACAGCCUCUUUUCCCCCUUUCUUCCAAACACGUAAUGGAGAAACGUUGAUCGGUUUUGCUCUAGGAUAAAUUCUGCUUCGUAUGGCCAGCCCAUUUUCCUAAUUUUUCACUGGACUGACAUGGGAAGGUAUUCGUUUUCUAANGCAUCAAUCAAGGUCAACCCAACAAAAUCUUGCUGCCUAGGACAUAAUCCAGUGUAUUGCCUGCACUGACUGGCAAUCCUCUCUCCAUGUGGAAGUUCUGGCAACUUACUGGUACUAUCUGCUUGCAAGGGAAGGGCCAGAAGGUCUUGGUACCCGAAGAACUGCCAGUCAUAUUCUCAUACGAGCCCAUUCAAGGAAAUUAUCAUGUCUGUGUUUUGUGGAAUGUAGCUGGAAUUGCGUGGCCUGAUUCAGCAGGGCUCUUCUUAUGUUCUAAUGAGAGGGGAGCCUAUUCCAGAGGAUGGGUGCCACCACAGAAAAGGCCCAACUGCAGGUAGUCAUGAGAUGACAUUCAGUGAUUUGUGGUACUCGUAGCAAAGAUCUUCAUGGUCUCACAGGUCUAUACAGAGACAGGCAGGCUGCUAAGUANGCUGAGUUAAGGGCGUUGUAUGCCAGAGACAAAACCUGUGGGCAGCUAAAUCACUGUCCACNGAUUUGACUGGGAACAGCUGGACUUCUUCCAGUCAGCAGCAUUUGGACCUGCUUCCGGGUANAAAUCGCAGUCGCAUGGCACAUCCCGGUUACCAUGGCACAGCCGGACAUUUCCUUGGCUGCUGUCAUGGCAGGCAGGUCGGCAUCCAUACUGCGAGUCCUGGAAACCCAGUUCAGAACUGUUCCAGCCCUCACAGUGCGGAUGGCUG
rnacentral:lncRNA from 1 species